UCAAGUGAAUAAGUGCAUGUGGUGGAUGCCUUGGCGAUUACAGGCGACGAAGGACGUGAUAGCCUGCGAUAAGCUUCGGGGAGCUGGCAAAUUAGCUUUGAUCCGGAGAUUUCCGAAUGGGGAAACCCACCCUUAGGGGUAUCGCAUGAUGAAUACAUAGUCAUGCGAGGCGAACCGGGUGAACUGAAACAUCUCAGUAGCUCGAGGAAAAGACAUCAACCGAGAUUCCGAAAGUAGUGGCGAGCGAAAUCGGAACAGCCUUGUACGUUUUAGCAUCUUUGAUAUCAGAACGGAAUGGAAAGUCCGGCCAUAGCGGGUGAUAGCCCCGUAUGAAAAAUCUAGGGUGUGGAACUAGGCGUACGACAAGUAGGGCGGGACACGUGAAAUCCUGUCUGAAGAUGGGGGGACCAUCCUCCAAGGCUAAAUACUCGUAAUCGACCGAUAGUGAACUAGUACCGUGAGGGAAAGGCGAAAAGAACCCCGGGAGGGGAGUGAAAUAGAUCCUGAAACCGCAUGCAUACAAACAGUCGGAGCCCGCAAGGGUGACGGCGUACCUUUUGUAUAAUGGGUCAGCGACUUACAUUCAGUGGCAAGGUUAACCGAAUAGGGAAGCCGUAGAGAAAUCGAGUCCGAAUAGGGCGAACAGUCGCUGGGUGUAGACCCGAAACCAAGUGAUCUAUCCAUGGCCAGGAUGAAGGUGAGGUAACACUUACUGGAGGUCCGAAYCGACUAGUGUUGCAAAACUAGCGGAUGAGCUGUGGAUAGGGGUGAAAGGCUAAACAAACUUGGAAUAGCUGGUUCUCUCCGAAAACUAUUUAGGUAGUGCCUCAAGUAUUACCGUCGGGGGUAGAGCACUGUUAUGGCUAGGGGGUCAUGGCGACUUACCAAACCAUUGCAAACUCGGCAAAUUGACACCGUAACUUCGGAAGAAGGUGUGCCUUUAGUAGGUGAAGUCGUACAGACGGAGCCCAAUGAGGCCGCAGAGAAUCGGUGGCUGCGACUGUUUAUUAAAAACACAGCACUCUGCAAAGACGAAAGUCGACGUAUAGGGUGUGACGCCUGCCCGGUGCUGGAAGAUUAAAUGAUGGGGUGCAAGCUCUUGACUGAAGUCCCAGUAACGGCGGCCGUAACAAUAACGGUCCUAAGGUAGCGAAAUUCCUUGUCGGGUAAGUUCCGACCUGCACG
rnacentral:rRNA from 1 species